AACAGCAACAACAGCAGUAGCAGCAGUAACAGCAGCAACAACAACAACAGCAACAAUUAUUUCUACCAGUGGUUUGAUGACAAAAGCUAACUUUGACCGAGGAAGCAGAAUGCCAUAGCAAAUAGUGAUUAGCAUGAAGUGUUGCCAUUCUACAACUCUGAUUGUUAGUCUCUGUCCAAUCGUAUUUGUCGUUUUCAACUAAGUAAGAUGAACCGUCUUUACUGCUUUACCAACUCUAUCAACGAUAAAAUAACAAUUCAACAAAGGGAGCAUUGUGUGGUUGCAAGAAAUAGUAGCUACAACCCCUCAAAUCAUCAGUCAAAUAGAAAAACAAACAAUUUUGAUAAAGAAGUGCCAGAUAUACGAUAUCUGAAAUAAAGGAUGAGGCGGUCAUAGCCCCAAAAAUUUUCAUCGGCAUGGCUACGUGGUAAGAAGCUUGCGUCCCAACCACAUGGUUCCGGCUUCAGUCCCACUGCGUCGCAACUUGGACAAGUGUCUUCUACUAUAACCUCAGGUUGACCAAAGCCUUAGAUAUUCACAUCACCUGGACAGCUGACCUCUAUGACGGUACAUACUUUUUCUUGUCCGUUCCAAACAACAAUAUCCGGUCUGUUAUGCUUACACUUGACAGAUGUUUUGAGGAGAAUGUUCUACCAGUAUUCUUUGUGCUGAUAUUUGUAUCUUGUGAAUAUCUGACUUUUGAUGGUGCAUUGUGUGUUUGGAAAGGAAUUUAUUGUUGCGCGCGAUCAAUCUGAGCCCUUCGUUUAAUACUGUUGGCACAGCUAAAGUGUUUACGGUUAGAUAAAUUGAUUGGAGGCGUUACUUACUGGGACCAGUCCUCUUCAAAAAUAUUAACAGUUUUCAAUUUGGUUAAGAACUGAAUUAGCGACAAAGCUCUGAAAGAUGCUGCGUGUGAAUAAAUUGCUGUCUUAAGAAUAUUAUUUAACUACUACCGUAGUUGAAUGAUUCUUUGAGAAGAGUUAAAAGCAGAAAUUCCUGUCAAUGUAAACUACAACGAUUCUGUUUCUCGUCUCAAAUAUUACAGGACUUUGAUUACAUGAUACACUUGCAUUAAUUAAUACAGGUGACGUAAUUAAACUAAUUACAAAUUA